UGUGUCAACAUGGCGUCUUCAAUGGAGCUUAGUUGCUGGGGCGGCGACUGGGGGUUGCCGUCGGUGCACGCCGAGAGCCUCGUUGUCAUGACUUAUGCCAGAUUUUCAGGUGCACCAUUGAAAGUCAGCAUAAUAGAUAAUGCAUGGAAAGCACCAAGAGGGAGUAUACCAUUAUUGCUAUCAGAUGACACUGUUAUUUCUCAGCCAGCAAAAAUAUUAAACUUUUUAAGAAAACAGAAGUAUAAUGCUGAUUAUGAAUUGUCUUCAAAGGAAGGAGCUGACACACUGGCAUAUAUUGCACUGCUUGAAGAAAAACUACAUCCUGCUAUGCUGUAUACUUUUUGGAUUGAAGCUGAUAAUUACUAUAAUGUGACAAAACCAUGGUUUGCUUCAAGGAUUCCAUUUCCAUUGAGUUGGUACCUGCCUAGAAAGAUGUCCAGGGAAGCUCUUAAUAGGAUCUUGCUGACAAAGGGAGGACCUCCACUCUAUAGCAUCACUGAAGUAGAAGUUCAGAUCUACAGAGAUGCAAAGGAAUGUCUGAAUCUUCUGUCAAAUAGACUGGGUUCAUCUCCAUUUUUCUUUGGAAAUAAACCUACAACUCUUGAUGCCUUCGUGUUUGGUUUUCUUGCUCCUCUUUAUAAAAUACCAUUCCUUAAAGUCCAGUUACAAGAGCAUCUGAAGCAGCUUCCCAAUUUAUGUCGCUUCUGUGAUGAUAUUCUGAGUUGCUACUUUAGACGAAACUUCUCAGGCACCUCUCCAGAGGGUCAAGAUACAGUUGAUGCGAAUCUCCAGAAACUCACACAGCUCGUGAACAAGGAAUCUAAUUUGAUUGAAAAGAUGGAUGAUAAUCUUCGCAAGAGCCCUCAGCAUCCUCCUCGUAAGCUGACAACUGUCAAACUUUCUACAGCUGAGGAAGGAAAUAGUUCACUGAAUCGCUUGUCACCCUGAUAGUUUUUAAUUUCAUAUUUAAAUGUGUUCUCAGAAACUGUUAAUCUAUAAUCAAUUUUUGCACUACAUCUAUGUGUAUAUGAAUCUGUGGCAAAGAUAAGUUGACAUGGAUGCAGGUCCAUUCAUUUAACCAAUUCAUUCUAUGGUCAUGUUAAAAAUAGUACACCUAACACAGGCAAGAUCACUGAGUAAUUGUAAAAUAUACUGUGUAAUGUCACUUUUAAUGCUGCAUAAUGCUUGCCUUUUCAGGUUAAUAUGUCUCUUGACCAAAAGCUAAGAUUCCACUUUUUGGAAUACACUAACAUAUCAGGCUCUUCUGCUAGAUUAAGUUUUCAGUUUUGACUGCAAUCAUGUUACACCUUAACUUGCUGUAUAUUGGAAUAGGUACUUGAUCACCACUUUCAGCAUUUUUAUAGUUUUCUAAAAUAGCUCAAAUACUGAAAUUGAAGUUAUCAGUCUAUAACACAGAACAAUAGUGAGCAGUAUUUGUUAUUUUGGAACAUGUUUGUGCAAGCAAUGGUGAAUAUAUGCAAUGUAUGCUAGUUUUAAAAGAAUGUAGACUUUUAAAAAUCAGUCUUACUGCCAUUGGUAUUUCAUUUCAUAUUUAAAUGUUUAUUCCAAAUCUGGUUUUAUCAGUAGACAAGCUUCCUGAAAGCAUGAUACAUGCAAAAUUGUAGCCAUUUUUACUGACUCCUUUUUUUUCCUACUUGCUCUUUCUUACUCAUGACACCUUUUCAUGUUUCUCCAGCAGUUUCCAGUUCUCUGGAACAGAGAGAAGCAGGAUGAAGUGGAGAGAAUGUCCUUCACACCCUAUUUCCAAUGUGAGGGAACUUCAACCAUAGCAAGUCUAGGGUCCAUGCAAUUAGCAUUACUUCUUUUUAACCUGCUUUGUGCUAGAGGUGGCAUUCAGUUUGUGCUUUGAUGCAGUUCAUCAACAUCAACCUGAAUGGCCUAGUCUUUUCCCUGGAUUAGAAUGUUUUAGUUAAUGAAUUAACAGGAUAUUGAGCUUGUGCAGUAUGUUGAUCUAUGCACAUAGAAUUCCUGAUGGGCUUCCCCAGGUACUUGAACUAACAUUGGUAGUGCCCCAGUCAGAACUGCUGUAUGUAGAGCUCUGUCCCUGACCCUGUUUUGUUAGUUUGUUUAUUUACUUUACUUUACUUUACAGGGCUUAUAUGCCACUCUAAUGAAAACUGAUUCUAAGCAGCUUAGCAUACCUUAUUUGUGCUUUAGACUCUAAAAGUCUACAGCACAAAUGACAAUAUAAUAAAAACAGCACCAGAGGAAAAUAAAAUGCGGAAGCAGGGCACAUAAAACUCAGUUGAGAAACAGUGGUAUAGACACAGAGCUUGGCGUUUACUGAAAGCCUCUAAAUCAGGCUCAUUUUAUAACAUCUGUCUAUAAUGGCACUGAGAAGCACUUAGCUUAGCAGUAGUUUUGCCACAAUUGAUGUAACAGUUCUAAUAUUCCACAUCAAGGCUGGAGGAGGAACUGGAUGGUUUAAAAGUCAGAUGGUUAGGGAUUGCUUUGCAAGAGGAAGGAAUAAAGUAAGUUGUGUAAGAAGUAGGAUAUUGAAAUAUUUAAGUCUUGAGAUCUUUGAAUAGGAUGGACUUUUGAAUGUACAUUUUGCAGGGAUGUAUUGUCAACCUCUUUGUACCUGCUUGAAGUGGCACCCUGGGCCCCUAUUCCUAACCUAGCUAGUGCCACAAAAUAACAGGGCACACUAGUGUGGAAACCUGUAAAACACUGAUGGAAUGGAAUACAGAAUGUUGCACAAAAUUGGGUUGUGGUCUAGGCAAGGGCUUUCAUUGACUCUCACUAAAAUUUAUUUCUGAAUUUCAGUCAACAGAAUAUUUUUGGAAAAGGACUUAACCAAAAUGGCAUGUUCCUUUAAUCAACUGUUUUUUUGCGUACCGUAUUUUUCCAUCUAUAAGACGCCCUCAUGUAUAAGACGACCCCCACUUUUCCAACCCAAAAUUAAGAAAUCAAU